rnacentral:tRNA from 1 species
GGGUGGCUCAGUGGUUAAGAGCACUUGCUCUUCAGAGAACCUGGGUUCAGAUCCCAGCACCCA